AUGCCGAAACUUUAAUGCUCUGAAGGCACUAGAAUCCUGUUCAGACGGAAGUGUACUCGAACCUUCGGUGCUUGGAUUUGAACUCACAACCUCAUGGCAACUUUUAGCACAACCACCGAGCUCCCACAGCAUGGUCGGAGCCAUAUACAGAAUUCACCCGAGCUCAUAAGCAUAUUCGUCAUUAGCCUUCCAAUAAUCAUCGUUCACUGUUGUUAAACGAGUGAUUAUUGCUAUAUAUUUUAAUAAUAAUUUGUAUUCUGUAUCCUGUCUUUACUUGCAUGUAUCGUUCUCUGCUGGUCGUCAUUACUCAAGAAGACAGACGUGUUGAUUAUUAUUCAAUCACAAUAACUUGCUGAUCCUUUUAUCAUGAUUUAUGAUAAAACCACUAUUUGAAAUAAAAAUUUUAAAAAUACUACAAACAGCAUGCAAUCUUUCCUUAUUGGUCAGCAUUUUUAAGCGUAAACAAACCCGUUUACUUGCAAUCGCUCAUCAAGUUCAGUUUCAAUACAAACAGGAUAGUUAUGAGCAAUCUAAUGCUUGCUGGAAAGCUACGGUUCAUUGCUCGUCAGAUCUGGGAUUUGUUACACGCUGGACAUAUUCAUUCAUUCACUCACGUUCAUACACACUCACGCAGACACCGUUAAAAAUAAAGGGUCGGUUAAUUUCAGACUGAUGCCACAGGAGAACCCUUUUAAGUCACACAAAAAAUAACUUAAGUUCCUAGAGAACCAUUUAUUCACCACCUAUUUUGGGUAAACCCAGAAAUGGUCCUUGAUGGCAGUGCCACAAGAAACUAUGUCAGCAUUCGAUCUUUUAAUUAAAAAAAUGAGUUCGUGCUUUAAGAAACCAAAGUCAUGCCAGGAGAACCUCAAAGAACCCUCAAAGAACCUUAUAGGGUUCACUAUAUCCUGUUAAGGGACGAUACAUUGACGAACCCAUACACUGCUCUGAAGAGCCUAUAAUGAGCCAUGAAGAAUAAUGAAUAAACGAGUUUAAUCUCCAAAGAAGCAUAUAGCUUAACUCGGGUACCCUGUACAAUGAAAAAUGGUUCUUGACGAGAAGGUGGUUCUUUGCUGAACCUAUGGUGCUGUUGAGACCCAUUAAGGAAGCUUUAUUUUUUAAGAUUCACAGUUCUGAGCACUCCCUCGCUCACUGGAUCCUAUUCCUAUUCGCGAUGCGUGUGAAGCUACAGUUACGACAUCAUUUUUUAAAGUUGUAAAAAUGAUACCUGACAAACUCACAUGAUCGGCAUAACGACGGCUCGCUGGCUUCUCAGAUUAGUUCUCAGAGAACUAGAUCUAUUGCCUGUCGGGGCCUGUUUUGGUAAUCUACAGCCAAAAAUAUUCAGAACUGUUAAACAAAACAGCCGAAUAACCAAACGCCAGCACGCUCCUGAUCAUGAUUGGACAAAUUACUGGGGAUUACACGUCAGGCCUUUUUUGGGCUGGAGAAUUAUUUAAUGAACAGUUUGUUUUUAUAGUGUGAUGUCGUCCAGGACAAACUUCUGCUGGAGAAUUUAAGAAACGUUCCCUUUAAAAAUUAAGCGUUGUUUAGAAUGUGUGUGUGUGUGUGUGUGUGUGUGUGUGUGUGUAUAUGUAGGUGCGUGCUCUGGGUGUCAACAUGUGAUCUAUUUCCUGUGUAUCUGGCAGAGUCCUUGAGCUGACUUCACACCGCUUAGCAAUGUGUGUGUGUGUGUGUGUGUGUGUGUGUGUGUGUGUGUGUGUGCUUUCACAGCUGAAUCACUCAGAUGAGUGAGUAAUGUGUUUGUUGAGCUCAAACAGUCCUCCCCCCCCCCCCCCCCCCCCUCAAGGUAUGGGCAAACUAUAGCAGUCAGUUAGUUUUAAAUAGCAACUAAUCCAUAUACUCAAUGGGAGUGAAAGAUUGUUAAUAUAUAUAUAUCACUAGCCUCUAGUCUGUUUAGCAGACACAGCCAGACUUUUUAAAUCAUGAGAAUUUGAUAUAAUAGGAACGGCUGUAAUACUGUAUUCGAAUCAAUAAAGGAAUGCUGUGAAUAAAAUCAGAAUCGGUUGCUAUUGAUCCAACAUGAUGUGCAAUGGACACCCUCAAAACGUCUUAUACGAUAGUAGGAUAUAAAUGUAUUUCAAGUCAAUUCCGGUUUUCAGUAGGGUCCAGGAAUGAACAGUUGAACAGUUUCUGUGGUGAUUGGGAAGCAUUCCAAAUCACAGCUUGGAACUUUUGCCUGUACGCUUCAGGGAGCGAUUCAUAUGCAGACUUAACGGUGUCAUAAUCUAAC
ensembl:lncRNA